rnacentral:rRNA from 1 species
CCAUCCAGCGUGCAGGAAGAAGGCCCUAUUGGUUGUAAWCUGCUUUUAUCAGGGAAUAAACCUCUGGAUUCACUCCGGAGCUGAAGGUWCCUGAAGAAUAAGCACCGGCUAACUCCGUGCCAGCAGCCGCGGWAAUACGGAGGGUGCGAGCGUUAUCCGGAAUUACUGGGUUUAAAGGGYGCGUAGGCGGCUUUGUAAGUCAGGAGUGAAAGUUUGCGGCUCAACCGUAAAAUUGCUUCUGAUACUGCAUGGCUAGAAUUAGGAUGAGGUCAGCGGAAUGUGGCAUGUAGCGGUGAAAUGCAUAGAUAUGCCAUARAACACCAAUUGCGAAGGCAGCUGGCUAGACCUGGAUUGACGCUGAGGCACRAAAGCGUGGGGAGCGAACAGGAUUAGAUACCCUGGUAGUCCACSCCCUAAACGAUGCUUACUCGACGUAUGGCACUAGUUGUUGUGCGUCCAAG